rnacentral:rRNA from 1 species
GACGAACGCUGGCGGCGUGCCUAAUACAUGCAAGUCGAGCGGACUGAAUGGGAGCUUGCUCUUGUUUGGUCAGCGGCGGACGGGUGAGUAACACGUGGGCAACCUGCCCGCAAGACCGGGAUAACUCCGGGAAACCGGAGCUAAUACCGGAUAACACCGAAGACCGCAUGGUCUUUGGUUGAAAGGCGGCGCAAGCUGCCACUUGCGGAUGGGCCCGCGGCGCAUUAGCUAGUUGGUGAGGUAACGGCUCACCAAGGCGACGAUGCGUAGCCGGCCUGAGAGGGUGACCGGCCACACUGGGACUGAGACACGGCCCAGACUCCUACGGGAGGCAGCAGUAGGGAAUCUUCCGCAAUGGGCGAAAGCCUGACGGAGCGACGCCGCGUGAGCGAAGAAGGCCUUCGGGUCGUAAAGCUCUGUUGUGAGGGACGAAGGAGCGCCGUUUGAAGAAGGCGGCGCGGUGACGGUACCUCACGAGGAAGCCCCGGCUAACUACGUG